GGUUUGGUGACAGGCUUUGAAUUUGUGGCAACUUUAACUGUGAGUCUGCAUCCUCUUUUUAUCUAUGGCUCCCUCCCUUUUUUCUGGGUUGUGGUGGCACUACCCGGCCUUUGAGCUAUCGUUACUGCUCACCUUCCAUAUGAGGGCUUCUUCUGACUGUGUGCAUCAGCUCCUGACCAUCCUCGUCCUCUCCUAUCCUACAGUACUUGGCAGGUUGGCUUUAUUGCACCAGCAUAGCGGGAGAAGAGCUUUUCUCCAAAACGAUUGGCCGUACUGCUCUGGGCAGGGGAGGCAGGCCAUGGUCUGAAAUAAGGGCUUCCUGGAAUUGGCUCCCAUCAUACUUUUUCUUAAUUUUUACAUACAUGUUGUAUUUUUCAGAAGUUUCCACUCACUUUUGGAGCUCAGUCUGAGACAUGUUCACCUUGGUUUGCAGAGACGGCAAUCAUGGCCAGUGGUGCUCAGAGUUUGUGGACACUCUAAACUGGCAAGCGAGCGCAGGAGCUGCUCGUCAGCCACCUAAUGGGAGACACGGGAAACCAGUGGACCCUUCAGAUCCAGAGUUGAGGUGCUCUGCCCUCCAUCCCACUGCAUGCCAAGAACCUUCCUUGGCUGUUACUGAAAAUGGGAAGCCUUCCGUCGCUAAGGCGUGCAGUCCAGGGAAGGUCACGCAGGGCAGGUUAAGGUCUGCAGUUCAAGGUAUAAACUGCCAGAUGCUGGUAGGCACUUUGCAUGCCUGUGCCAGGGAGUCCUCUUCUCCAUGAGGAGAGUCUGCCUUCUCCAUGAGGAGUGAUAGCCAUGCACUUCGGUGGAAUGGCUGAGGUUGGUUCAGCUUUCUCCACAGAUACGUAGCCCAGUGGGUCCCCUGGCCCAAGAUUAACUAUCCGGCGGAAAUAGCGACGUGCUUCCCAAGCUGGCUGUGGUAAGUCCAGCUUCUGUGAGGCAUUUAAACUUCAGAGAAACAGCAGUUUCGAUCAGCAAAUUGAGAGGCCUUAUAGCUAAAGGGAUAGAGAUUCAAGUUAUCUCUUAAGGCAUAUGCCCCCUGGAAGAGGGUCCCCUGCCUCGCCAGCCGUUAACAUCAGCCCCUGCCAUCUCCUUUCUCCCCAGCUCAGGUAGUGUGCAUCAUCUGUGCGCGCGACAGCUAUGAAGCUGUAGGGCUCUCUGCAGAAUAUUUGCUCUAUAGCAUAAUUCACCGUGCUAUAGCAAAAGUCUAGCCCUGGUGACAAUUACACAGAUGUGAACUUAUCUCCUCUCUCCCACGACAACAGAUUAUCCAUCUGUGAUGCAGAAUCUAAAUCUGUAGGCUUCCCCUUUGCCUAUCCAGUUUGGCCAGCCCUAUUUAAAAUGAGUCAGUGUUUCUUGGGUGUUCCCGCCGGAAUCUGUGGCAGUAGUCUUGUGAAUAAGUAUGGUUGCACUUGAGUACGAGUGGCAGAAUCCAGCCCACAGAGACUGACAUAUGGUAAGGCAAUAUAUGUUUCCUAGCAUUUGGAUCCAAAAAUUAUUCCUACAAGGUGCAGAGUUACAUUGAUUGUAUUACUGGAUCAUCAAAUGAUUAAAGCCAUUAACAAUCCACUCUUGAGCAAUCAACGUAACAAUGUUUAGCUGCCUUGCAGUAACAAUUAAAAGAUGAAGCAAUUUGCAAUAAUUAGGUAGUAUCUGGAAAAAGUAGUCCUCAUUAAGAGAAGUUAAAAAGACUUUUUCUUAUGGUUGAGAUGAACCUAGCAGGCCAAUUUCCCUCCUCCUCGCCCUCUCUCCUUCCCUCCCCACAUUUAAGGAGAACAAUCUGCUCUUUUUUAGUCUUUCAUUUUGGGAAAGAUCAAAGGGGAUCUAAUGACUAGAUGGCUCAGGAGGGUGAUGGAAAUCUCAAGAACGGCGUGUUGAGGCUGGGCAUUCCUUUUCACAGGGAAGACGUCCCGAGUCGGCGCUGAGUUGUCAGGCUGUUUUGCUGCCCAGUGGGAUUUCAGACCAAAGCACAGAAGUCUCAGCAUUUCCUCUAAUAGCAGAGUUUCUCAGGAGUGAGCACUCGUUCAGUACUCAUGUGCUUUGAGGGCCUGAGUCAGGAUUUUGGAAUACCUGAAGGAGGACAGUGGUGGUGCAAACAGCAUCACCCAUGGCUACCUUACUGGUUUUCUGACCUUCGGUAUCAAGGCUGGAGCACGACGGAUGCAGGCAAGACAGCAAGACUAAAAUCAUUCUAUGCUCACCAUCAGCAUCUGCGGAGUCUUUGGCAAGGCUUAUAUGUUUGACAUUGAGCUCCUCGUUUCAAUCCAAACUUUAAUAACAUAAGAGUUGCCACAACGGAGCAGAGCGACGAUUCAUCCUGUAGCCGAGCCUGCCAGUGGCCAGUGCCAGAUGCUUCAGAGGAGAUUGCAGAGCAUCAUAAUACAGCUAAUUGGUGGGAACGUGGCCUCCUGGUGCCAGCUGGUGUUCAUCAGCUCUGUGUCCUGCAGCACGAGGGCCUGAUGAAAAUAGCCAUGCUUAGCACUUCUUGCCUGCCUUCAAUCAGAGGAGCAAAAACAUUGCCGAACGAAACCCUUCCUAUGUCGGGUACUGUACUGUUGCUACCUGCUGAUUGCCUGAUAUUAGGGGACGGAGCGCCGGCCUCCUUGAUGGAGGUUCGGUGGUUACAAUCAACAGGUCAAAAUGUGAUAUGCUUUGGAGCCUGCAUAAGUGUCAAAUAAUAUCGCCUGCAGCCCAGCUCGGGGCCCUGGCUACCUCGAGACUGGUAUCUCUAGAACAGCACUCCCCCCUACCUUGUGGAGCAGCAGAAGCUAUUCUUGUAGCUGUCUAGUGCCUUUUUGAACGUUAGUAAGCUUUUUUUUUUGCCUCAAUAAUCUACAGCAGAGAGUCCUACAGGCUAAUUAUAUGUUUCAUCCCAAAUCCUUUAAUUUUUUUGUAGUUCAAAUGGAUAACUAUGUUUUUCUCCCACAUCUUUGAUUCAGAUGGAUGAUUUGCUUCAUUAAUUGAUAUGUGGAGGAGGGGGUCUAGAAAUGAGCUACAUUUAUUCUUCAAAAAUAAUCUUUUCCCAAUGUUGCUUUUUUCUUCUGUGAAUCUUCAUAUUUAUUUCAAAAUUAUCCUGAAGUGAAUGUCAUCAACCUUUGUCCAGGAGUCUUUUGCUUGAUUAAUUAGCCUAUAACGAGUCUUCUGCAGGUCCUAUCUGAUACACAACUGUUAGGUUGGCCUAGUGUCAUACUCUACCUAGAAAACUGCCUCCUGGCUUCUACCCUGGGCUGCAUGUGUGCAGAGAAGGGCAGCGUGCCGCCAGAGCCCAGACUCUGCUUGCACAAGCUGACGGUUUGGCAGAGCUGGGGUCUGGGUCGCUGCGGUGAAAAUGCAUCCGGGAAGUGCUUGUUUGCAGGCUCUUUCCUGGAGGCGCCCUGCUGUGGGAAACCAGUAAGUCCAGACCUGAGUCAUUCUGGGGACCAGUCUCGUCCUCUUCCAGCUCCUUUGGGGGAUGGGACGAGGAUUUCUGCACUGACCAGCGAAGGAUUCACCUGCCCAUAGGGGAAGUUUUUGUGUAACCUUGUCACUUAGUGGUGAUUAUUUCAGCUCUUCCUUUUCCUGGCCAGAUGGAGGAACUCGUUAAAGUCCAAGUCCUACAAACUAGACAUCAAAGUAAAUCAUAAUAACGCACUGUUGUGGCACCAGGCAGGCCCACAUCUCCCUGGGGAAUUUUCCAGCACUGUGGCUGCUGCUUUCUCCUUUUCCCUUUUUUCUUUUUUUGCUUUCAACACACUUCGGUGAAAAAUGGGUGUGAAUCAUUUUUUCAUGAGAAGCUUCCAUUGCAAAAAGUGCUUUUUUUAGGAAUGCAGCAUCUUUUUAAGCACAAUGCCAGAAAUCUCACUAGCUGAAGCUGAAAUGUGCUGGUUGCAACAUUAGGUGCUAACAGUUGGCAAAGCUUGAGUCCCAGUGGCUAAAAUACCAGAGAAAAUGGCAGACAGUUCCUUGGCUUUUAAAUCCAGGAUGUCUCGCUCGCAUGACAGGAGGAGAGAGGGUAGAGCUCUGCUCUGGCUGAUUGGCUGAUUGAUUGACACAUUUCACAGGCAGCUUUUUAUGGCACUCCAUGUUGUGAUGUUCUGAUUGCCUCACAAACACUAAUGAAUAUAUCCUGUAAUGCGCCUGUGAGGUAGGGAAAUAUUAUUAUCUCUGAUUUCCAGAUGAGCCUGAUCCAUGUGGAUCCAUUUGCCUGAAAUUCUCUGGCCUUUGUGAUGGCGAAGAUGCUUUACCGUGCUGGUUGGCACCAGCCGGUGCGCAUGUGCUCCCGGA